rnacentral:misc_RNA from 1 species
AUGAUUGCGAAUGGUUACCUUUGGUGCUGGCUCUCGCGAGCAAGUGCACAUUGGUGGCUUUCAUCCACUACUACCCUUGUGAACCUUUGGCCUCUUGCUCGCUUCGGCUGGCAGAGGAAUUUACACACACUCGAAUGUAAUGAAAUAUAUUGUCGUGCGCAAGCACUAAUGUA